rnacentral:lncRNA from 1 species
UUUGGUGAGAAAAAGUUGAUUGUUUUGGAGUACAUCCCUGCUGAAAAACAAAUUGCAGAUUUAUUCACUAAGGUUGUUGAUUUUGAGAGAUUUUUUUAUCUUAGGAAGUCUUUCGGUUUAUGUUGCAUGUAGGAUGUUUGCAUGUCAUGGAUGCUGGGACUUAGGAUGUUUGUUGGAUCCCAACAUCUAAUUUCUAUUUCUUGUGUUUUAUUUUUCAUUUUUUUAGGCAUAUGCAUGUGGAGACUAAUGUUACUAACAUUGCAGAACAAAGUCGGAUACUUUGAUUUUCUAACUGACUUGAUGUGAGACUGUCUCAUAAGCAGAUGUUGAUUUCUCAAAAAUCCUUUGAUGUUAUAAGACCGGUAGCACAAGAGUGAGGCUUAAUGGUCAUAAAACAUCCCCAAGAAAAGAGAUCACACAAAGAACUCUCAUCUAAGUACUCG